UUGUAUGUCAUGAUACAGGAGAGAGAGAAGUGGUUUUCCAGAGUGGCAAGAGGACACGGUCCCAGUGCCCUGGUGAAGUGCUCUCCUCUGCAAGGAGCAGGUCCAGUUCAUCCCUGGGAACAGGAAGGAAGGCAGGGCCAAGGGGCAGAGAUUCAGUUCUGAGAGAAUAAAUCAGUUCUCCUCCAAUUGCUUCUAUUUUCUCACUACAAUCAAUGAGAAGCAAUAUCAUCAGAUGGGAAUGAGAAAGGGAAGGAGUUCUAAGGAGAGAUGAGAACAUUUGAAACAGCCAUCUCAGAGCUAUUUGUUUCCCUGCUUAGUUUGUGCCUUCGUGCUCACAGUCACCGCAUGACUACAAAAUGGCGACUCUGCCUCCAGCAUUGCAUCAGCAUUCCAGGGAGAAGAAAUGGGACAACAGAUGAUGAAAGCAACCCCCUUGACAAAAUUGCUGAAGCAAUAUGGGACUUUUUAAGAUUACAAGAGCCACGUGGUUAAUAUUACUGGAAUGUUUUCAUGAGUGUGAAAUGCAGUUGUCACAGAGAAGCUUCUACUCAUCAUCUUAAGGCAAACACCAAAGUUCUUCAGAACAACUGAUUCCCCCUACAAGGAGAAAUAUCCAAGGCCUUCAUCCACCAGAACAGUCAAAUCAUUGAAAUUUAUCAGGCCUCGUGCAGUGGCUCACGCCUGUAAUCCCAGCACUUUGGGACACCGAGGUGGGUGGAUCACUUGAGGUCAGGAGUUCAAGACCAGCCUGGCCAACAGGGUGAAACCCCGUCUCUAUUAAAAAUACAAAAAUUAGCUGGAUGUGGUGGCGCAUGCCUGUAGUCCCAGCUACGUGGGAGGCUGAGGCAGGAGAAUCACUUGAACCUGGGAGUCGGAGGUUGCACUGAGCUGAGAUCACGCCACUGCACUCCAUCCUGGGUGACAAGAGUGAAACUGUCUCAAAAAGAAAAAAAGAAGGCCAGGCACGUGGCUCAUCCCUGUAAUCCCAGCACUUUGGGAGGCCAAGGUGGGCGGAUCAUCUGAGGUCAGGAGUUCGAGACCAGCCUGGCCAACAUGGUGAAACCCCAUCUCUACUAAAAAUACAAAAAUUAGCUGGGUGUGGUAGCACAUGCCUGUAAUCCCAGCUACUCGGGAGGCUGAGGUAGAAGAAUCACUUGAACCCAGGAGGCAGAGGCUCCAGUGAGCCGAGAUUACGCCAGUGCACUCCAGCCUAGGAGACAGAGCGAGACUCCAUCUCAUCAAAAAAAAAAAAAAAAAAUUUCUUCCAGUGUCCCAGGACAUUCCCCCAAGUAUCUGGAAUUUCACAAAGAGGGCCAGAUACAAUUCUAUCCAGAAUUCAUUGCUAUACUUGGAAGCUAGAAAGACCCCUCUUUACUAUGGAGAACAGAUGAUAGAACUUAUGCUUCUAAUAAAACAAGAUGCUCUUCAAUCAGCAUGCUCAUGUGUCCAGGGAGCUGACCCCAGUGUGUUGGUAGUAAGGCUUAAUAGCAAGAAGAGAUCAUGGGAAAGUCAAGGACAACCAGAUCUGACAGUAUACCUGGGAAAGGGCUCUAGUUGCUGUCCGUCAGGAUAUUAAUUCAAAUGCCCAAACAGUGAUUGUUCAUCAAAGGGCAUUCUGACCUUCCCUAAUUCCAUUUUUUCAAAAGACAUUUUUAGAGUAAUUUUGGGUUCGCAGAAAAAUUGAUCAGCAAGU